rnacentral:lncRNA from 1 species
CCACCUACAUCACAUGCUAAACAUAGCAUGCACCACUAGUGCAACACACACACUCCAAAAUAUGUGGUGAGGGGGAAACCAUCCACACACAUAUCCACACUCCACUAUGCCUGCAAGCACAUGAAUCUAUAAGCACUUGCACCUACAUAAUAUGUAACUUGGAGCAAAAGAAAUAGCACCACAAGCUUACUAAGUGUAUAUGCACACACACAAGUGCAUCACCAAGGUUCACAAGCUAGAUACAAACAAUACACCCUAGGAGAUUAUGAGAGGAGGUUAAACAUAAACCUACACAUGCUAAAAUAACUACAAAACAAUAAUGAACAGGG